rnacentral:rRNA from 1 species
GACGAACGCUGGCGGCGUGCUUAACACAUGCAAGUCGAGCGGUAAGGCCCUUUCGGGGGUACGACGAGCGGCGAACGGGUGAGUAACACGUGGGUGACCUGCCCUCAGCUCUGGGAUAAGCCUGGGAAACCGGGUCUAAUACUGGAUAUGACUCCAUGACGCAUGUUGUGGGGUGGAAAGCCUUGUGCGGCUGAGGAUGGGCCCGCGGCCUAUCAGCUUGUUGGUGGGGUGAGGCCUACCAAGGCGACGACGGGUAGCCGGCCUGAGAGGGCGACCGGCCACACUGGGACUGAGACACGGCCCAGACUCCUACGGGAGGCAGCAGUGGGGAAUCUUGCGCAAUGGGCGAAAGCCUGACGCAGCGACGCCGCGUGAGGGAUGACGGGCCUGGUUGUAACUACUUCUAGCUCCGACGAAGACGAGAGUGACGGUAGGAGCGAGAAGAAGACACCGGCC